GAUGAACGCUGGCGGCGUGCCUAAUACAUGCAAGUCGAGCGAACGGACGAGAAGCUUGCUUCUCUGAUGUUAGCGGCGGACGGGUGAGUAACACGUGGAUAACCUACCUAUAAGACUGGGAUAACUUCGGGAAACCGGAGCUAAUACCGGAUAAUAUUUUGAACCGCAUGGUUCAAAAGUUAAAGACGGUCUUGCUGUCACUUAUAGAUGGAUCCGCGCUGCAUUAGCUAGUUGGUAAGGUAACGGCUUACCAAGGCAACGAUGCAUAGCCGACCUGAGAGCGUGAUCGGCCACACUGGCACUGAGACAGGGUCCCGACUCCUACGGGAGGCCGCGGCAGGGAAUCUUACGCGAUGGGCGAAAGCCUGACGGUGCAACGCCGCGUGAGUGAUGAAGGUCUUCGGAUCGUAAAACUCUGUUAUUAGGGAAGAACAUAUGUGUAAGUAACUGUGCACAUCUUGACGGUACCUAAUCAGAAAGCCCCGGCUAACUACGUG
rnacentral:rRNA from 1 species